rnacentral:rRNA from 1 species
UACGUAGGGUGCGAGCGUUGUCCGGAAUUAUUGGGCGUAAAGAGCUCGUAGGCGGUGUGUCGCGUCGGCCGUGAAAACCUGCAGCUUAACUGUGGGCUUGCGGUCGAUACGGGCAUCACUGGAGUUCGGCAGGGGAGACUGGAAUUCCUGGUGUAGCGGUGAAAUGCGCAGAUAUCAGGAGGAACACCGGUGGCGAAGGCGGGUCUCUGGGCCGAUACUGACGCUGAGGAGCGAAAGCGUGGGGAUCAGACAGG